GGAAAAAAAUAGUACACUUGUUUAACAUCUUUCUAUUUACCACUACACGUGAAAUGGAUACAGACAUCCUUUCUGUUUGUGGUCGUUUACAACAAACGUAACCCUCGUUCUGUCACAUUCAUCCGAAUCCCAAACUAAUAGACGAGUGAAUCAAUGAGUUCACUGAGCCUGACUUUUUUGACAUCACAGCGGCGUCGACUCUCAACAACUUCUACUCAGAGAUGUAUCACCAAAAUUCGCUGAUAAUAUUUUUCUUUAAUUUCUUAAAUGAAUUUACAUUUAAAGUGAUGCAUAUGCAUACACGGAGACAAAUUUCGUUAGUUUGAAACAAAAAUAUUCAUGUUUAUUCGGUAAACUGAUAAAAUAUUUAAAACUAAAAUAUUUAUUUUUAAAACUAACUCAAUUACAUAUUGAUUUCUACAAUACCCAUUGAAAAGCCCCCCGUUCCGCCGUCGAGAACAUAAACAAAACUCUCAAGUUUGAGCUGCAGCACCAAACAAGAUUUGCUCUUGCAAAAAAGGCAAGUUUCACCAAAAGUUUCCACGAAAUCCCAUUGAUUUCGGGAGCGUAUGUUAUCUACAUGAUGUUGGCAUUGAAAGUGCCACGCGGGAAGUGGGUUUUCCUAGAGAAGGAAAUUACUUUGUAAAUUUAAUUUGAAAACAAAUAUUUCCGUAGGGCCGACCUGUCACAAAAACAAAAAAUUUUACAUUUGUUUCUAACAUAACCUGUCAGAGGAUGCAUGUUUGUUUCAAAAAUGGAUUGAAUUUGCUUCAAAUGUUACGUUCGAUUUGCUCCAAACAGUUUUACUUUUGUUGCCAGAACAAAUUGACAAUUUAUUUGAGUUUACCUGAAAUAUUUUUGAUUUUACCACGCUUUUUUUCUGCAUGUGUCGUUGCACUAGCCCAUAUUUUUGCAACUUCAUCGCGACAACUAGAUGCAAUAACUUAUAUAACAAAUUUUCAGCUGGGUACAAAUGGUUGAGAGUCGACCCCGCUGGGGUGUCAAAAUUCGCGGCCCGAGUGAACUUUCAGCGGGCGGUGCACUCGUCUAUAGACGAAAAUUUUUCAAUAUUUUGCAGAAACGAAGCAUUUAAACAAAAAAAAUCUUAAGAUGAAACCAAAAUGGCGCCACAAAUUAAGUUACGAAUAAUGCAUUGGGGUCAUUAUGACCCAGAAAUUCAAACUCUUAUAGAAUGACGAUUUUUUACAGCAAUUCAAAUGACCAAUGCCUUAUUUGAUAGAUAAUUUCGUCAAGAAGGUGUCGAUAUAUUGAAAUAGUGGUUCCGGGAGCAUUGGCCACCGGGAAUCUGCUACACAGGGCAUCAUGUCGGACAUGUGGGAUAGGAUAGGAAACAAUUUUGUUUGAAAAUCACUCACUGCCUGCGCUUGUGUUCUUAGAAGCUUCCAGUUCAGUCUAAACGCCAUACAGGGAGUGGCCAAAAUGUUUGGGAUAGGCAACUUUUUUUCUCUUUCAAAACAAUUCACCAUGCUGUAACUUUUCAUAGAGUGCAUCAAAAAUUCUCAAAUUUUGACUGUUUGUCAAUCUAUUAUAUGUGCAUCACUGUUACAAAUUUAGACUCUAUUGAUUAAUCUUUCGCCAAGCUAGAACCGUUCUCGUAAAACACUAUUUUUUAGAUAACCAAUUUUUGAACUGUCAUAUCUCCGAAACCAGUGAACCGAAUCGAAUAAAAUUUCAAACGUUUAUCAACAAUAUAUUGAUACUUCAUGCGUCAUUAUAUCAUGUUAUAUUUUCUCUCGACGAAUAAAGUUAUACCGGUUUGACAUUUUCACCUAUAUAGAGAAAAAUAAGACAAAUUUACAAUACCACAUAAAAAUUACUAAAUGUAUUCUUCCUUCAAUCAAAAUAGGCUCUAAUAUAUCUAAUAAGAUAAAUCUUGAAAACAAAAGUAAAAUUUCUUAGGAUAUCAAAACUAAAAUUAUUUAUUUUUUUUUGUUUAUAUUAACGUGUAUUUUAACUUAAAUGCUAAUUCUACACUUGCGUCUAAAAUUUAUUGACUUCUUCUUCUCCUUCUUCUUCUUCUUCUUCUUCUUGGCGUAACGUCCUCACUGGGACAAAGCCUGCUUCUCAGCUUAUGUUCUAUGAGCACUUCCACAGUUAUUAACUGAGAGCUUCCUCUGCCAAUGACCAUUUUGCAUGUGUAUAUCGUGUGGCAGGCACGAAGAUACUCUAUGCCCAAGGAAGUCAAGGAAAUU